rnacentral:tRNA from 1 species
CAAUAGGUAUUUUAUAUAAAAAUUUUAAUUUUGGAGAUUAAAGAAAAAGUUUUAUUCUUUCCUGUUGA